rnacentral:tRNA from 1 species
GGGAUUGUAGUUCAGUGGUAGAGUGCUUGUCUAGCAUGUGUGAGGCCCUGGGUUCAAUCCCCAGCACCA